UACGUAGGGUGCGAGCGUUAAUCGGAAUUACUGGGCGUAAAGCGUGCGCAGGCGGUUCGUCAAGUCUGAUGUGAAAGCCCCGGGCUCAACCUGGGAAUGGCAUUGGAUACUAGCGAGCUUGAGUGUGGCAGAGGGGGGUGGAAUUCCACGUGUAGCAGUGAAAUGCGUAGAGAUGUGGAGGAACACCGAUGGCGAAGGCAGCCCCCUGGGCUGACACUGACGCUCAGGCACGAAAGCGUGGGGAGCAAACAGG
rnacentral:rRNA from 1 species